rnacentral:misc_RNA from 1 species
UUUGGUUUGUUACGGGUGGUUGGCUCUUUGCUUGUGCAACAACUGCCACCUGACUUACCUCUUCAGAUGUUUGCCUAGGCUUGUAUAGCCUAAGCAGAUUGUGGGUUUCCUGUGUUGCCUACCUACGUUAUGGAAAUGACCCGACUGAUCAAAGUUGCUUUCGUCUUGUGUCAUCUCGGUGGCAUAAGAUGAACCUCGAAGCUGUCUCUUUGCACCGCAUCGUUAAUGCUUGCGUUGAUGUUGUGGCCCAUUGAGCAUUGCUUGGUACCUUGGAUACGGAACCUGAUGUGGGCAUGGGUCCUUAGGGAUUCUUGUUCUGCCCUCGUUUAGCGUUCGCGCUUCUCUUAGAAUGACUGCCCAGCCGCUAUGGCAAGCCGUUGCGGAUGGGCAUCGUCAAAGAGGAAUGC